UUCCAUUGGCCUUGGCCCGUGCGAAGCGCUCAACAUAAUAUUGUAUUUAAAACAUUAAAAAACAUACUCGUCCACAUAAUAUAUUAUUACAUCGCCUAUAUUGUGACGACGAUGAUGUACCCUAUACGGGAAUGUCGUUUUAAACGUUAUGCAACAAAUUUAUUCAAUAAUACAAAUAAAAUACCCAUUUUGGCACGAGUGGAGAUUUGUGCUGUCGACAAAGUAGAGUGUAGCAAGCCUUGUAUUCUGAUGCGGACUUCCAAUAUUGAAAACGGCGCACGAGUUCAUCGUUCAAUGGUUUCAAUGACGCGCAUUUUCUCGGAGUCAUCGUUACGAGUUUCGGUACGCACGGUUAUUAGAUUAAUGUUAUAAUAUAUUUCACAGUCAGGGCAUAAGACCUGAUACCUACUUAAUUUUUUGAUUUUUGUUAUUAUACUACGCACGAUAUAGUCAUCAUUAAGUAUGCAUUUCCAGACAAGGGAGAAAAAUAUAAAUAAAUUUUGUUUAUUUGUAGAAUUUAAUUUAAAUUUUGCUAGAUAGAUAAUACAUUAUUAUUUUAAUUAAUAUAAUUAUUAAGUAUGUAA